AUGCAGGUAGUCCUCGACUUACAACCACAAUGGAGCCCAACAUAUUGCUAUGAGUUCCUGCAACCAGAAGCAUGGGCCAGGCUACCUUGACUUGGGGAAGCUGCUUCUCUGAUGUUCCUGGUCCAAGUCUCUGAUGUCACCUUCCAUGAAAGUGCACCACAGCUUCAUUUUAUCCUCAACGAGCAGUUGUCACAUAAUGUCCUGUAUAAACAAUAAAUGUCUUCGCUCAUGGGGUCUACACA